AUUGAACGCUGGCGGCAGGCCUAACACAUGCAAGUCGAACGAGUGGCGGACGGGUGAGUAAUGUCUGGGAAACUGCCUGCUGGAGGGGGAUAACUACUUGAAACGGUAGCUAAUACCGCAUACCAUCGGAUGUGCCCAGAUGGGAUUAGCUAGUAGGUGGGGUAAAGGCUCACCUAGGCGACGCUCCCUAGCUGGUCUGAAAGGAUGACCAGCCAAACUGGAACUGAGACAAGGUCCAGACUCAUACGGGAGGAAGCAGGGGGGAAUAUUGCAAAAUGGGGGCAAGCCUGAGGCAGCCAUGCCGGGUGGGUGAAGAAGGCCUUCGGGUUGUAAAGCAAUUUCAGCGAGGAGGCGUUACUCGCAGAAGAAGCACCGGCUAACUCCGGGCCAGGCGCCGCGGUAAUAC
rnacentral:rRNA from 1 species